rnacentral:rRNA from 1 species
GAUGAACGCUGGCGGCGUGCCUAAUACAUGCAAGUCGAGCGAACAGACGAGGAGCUUGCUCCUCUGACGUUAGCGGCGGACGGGUGAGUAACACGUGGAUAACCUACCUAUAAGACUGGGAUAACUUCGGGAAACCGGAGCUAAUACCGGAUAAUAUAUUGAACCGCAUGGUUCAAUAGUGGAAGACGGUUUUGCUGUCACUUAUAGAUGGAUCCGCGCCGCAUUAGCUAGUUGGUAAGGUAACGGCUUACCAAGGCGACGAUGCGUAGCCGACCUGAGAGGGUGAUCGGCCACACUGGAACUGAGACACGGUCCAGACUCCUACGGGAGGCAGCAGUAGGGAAUCUUCCGCAAAGGGCGAAAGCCUGACGGAGCAACGCCGCGUGAGUGAUGAAGGUCUUCGGAUCGUAAAACUCUGUUAUUAGGGAAGAACAAAUGUGUAAGUAACUAUGCACGUCUUGACGGUACCUAAUCAGAAAGCCACGGCUAACUAUGUG